GGGCAACCCUGAUCCAGCAAUGCCGCGUGUGUGAUGAAGGCCCUAGGGUUGUAAAGCACUUUCAAUGGUGAAGAUGAUGACGGUAGCCAUAGAAGAAGCCCCGGCUAACUUCGUGCCAGCAGCCGCGGUAAUACGAAGGGGGCGAGCGUUGUUCGGAAUUACUGGGCGUAAAGGGCGCGCAGGCGGCCAAUCCAGUCAGGUGUGAAAGCCCCGGGCUUAACCUGGGAAUUGCACUUGAUACUGAUUGGCUAGAAAACGGAAGAGGGCAGUGGAAUUCCCAGUGUAGAGGUGAAAUUCGUAGAUAUUGGGAAGAACACCAGUGGCGAAAGCGGCUCCUGGUCCGAUUUUGACGCUGAGGUGCGAAAGCGUGGGUAGCAAACAGGACUAGAUACCCUGGUAGUCCACGCCGUAAACGAUGAAUGCUAGUUGUCGGGAGGUGGCCUUUCGGUA
rnacentral:rRNA from 1 species